rnacentral:misc_RNA from 1 species
UCCCCGUUUGAGCGAGGCAGUCUGUCCAGAGUGCUCCGAACUCUCGUUCGAGUGGCAACAGGACACGGGGGUUGCGCUCGUUGCGGGACUUAACCCAACAUCUCACGACACGAGCUGACGACAGCCAUGCAGCACCUGUGCAUGCUCCCCUUGCGGGGUCGUUACCCUUUCAGGCUUCUACUACAUGCAUGUCAAGGCCAGGUAAGGUUCUUCGCGUUGCAUCGAAUUGAGCCACAUACUCCACCGCUUGUGCAGGCCCCCGUCAAUUUCUUUGAGUUUUAAUCUUGCGACCGUACUCCCCAGGCGGCACAUUUAACGCGUUAGCUUCGCCACAAACGGGGUCGAAUCCGCUCACAGCAAAUGUGCACCGUUUACAGCUAGGACUAC